CUGGCAUGGACAGUCCAAGCCACUCAGUGCUCCUAUUCUGUAUGCUUUUGGCAAAUGAAGGCUGAGUUCCUAUUCUGAUUUUCAGAUAGCCAGAAUAGGGGCUAGAAGCAGCAGAGCCUUGUGUCAGAUGCUGUGCUGUGUUUUUGGUGAGAGGUGGGAAGGCAUGGGGCUGGGAGUUAACACUCUGCUUUUCUUUCUAGGACUGACAGAUGUAAUGAGAAGGAGCAAGAUGUGCAGAUCAUGGCCUCCUAUCUGCUGAGCUGCUUCUGAGCGCAGCAAAUCCUGCUGACCACCAUCAGCCAUGGUAGCUGCUUCGCUAUCCCAGGAAUGUAGCUGGAGAACACACAGUGAAAUGGCAGACCCUUUCUGGAGGAGGAAACACAGUACAUUCCACUCUCUUGGCCUGGCAGUACUGGCCACCUGUGCGCAGCUGUACACCAGCCCAGCAGCAGAAAGUCCAAGUUCACCCUUCCUAAGCAAGGAUCAAUGCCUUGGGCUCAAGCCAAGCUGGCAGCCACCAACAGAGAGAAGCAGCACGAAGGAUAACAGGCCCUGCAUAUAG
rnacentral:lncRNA from 1 species